rnacentral:rRNA from 1 species
AGAGUUUGAUCCUGGCUCAGGACGAACGCUGGCGGCACGCUUAACACAUGCAAGUCGAACGAGAGAAGAGGAGCUUGCUUUUCUGAUCUAGUGGCGGACGGGUGAGUAACACGUGAGCAAUCUGCCUUUCAGAGGGGGAUACCGAUUGGAAACGAUCGUUAAUACCGCAUAACAUAAUUGAACCGCAUGAUUUGAUUAUCAAAGAUUUAUCGCUGAAAGAUGAGCUCGCGUCUGAUUAGCUAGUUGGUAAGGUAACGGCUUACCAAGGCGACGAUCAGUAGCCGGACUGAGAGGUUGAUCGGCCACAUUGGGACUGAGACACGGCCCAGACUCCUACGGGAGGCAGCAGUGGGGAAUAUUGCACAAUGGAGGAAACUCUGAUGCAGCGAUGCCGCGUGAGGGAAGAAGGUUUUAGGAUUGUAAACCUCUGUCUUCAGGGACGAAAAAAGACGGUACCUGAGGAGGAAGCUCCGGCUAACUACGUGCCAGCAGCCGCGGUAAUACGUAGGGAGCGAGCGUUGUCCGGAAUUACUGGGUGUAAAGGGAGCGUAGGCGGGAUCGCAAGUCAGAUGUGAAAACUAUGGGCUUAACCCAUAAACUGCAUUUGAAACUGUGGUUCUUGAGUGAAGUAGAGGUAAGCGGAAUUCCUAGUGUAGCGGUGAAAUGCGUAGAUAUUAGGAGGAACAUCAGUGGCGAAGGCGGCUUACUGGGCUUUAACUGACGCUGAGGCUCGAAAGCGUGGGGAGCAAACAGGAUUAGAUACCCUGGUAGUCCACGCCGUAAACGAUGAUUACUAGGUGUGGGGGGACUGACCCCUUCCGUGCCGCAGCAAACGCAAUAAGUAAUCCACCUGGGGAGUACGACCGCAAGGUUGAAACUCAAAGGUAUUGACGGGGGCCCGCACAAGCAGUGGAGUAUGUGGAUUAAUUCGAAGCAACGCGAAGAACCUUACCAGGUCUUGACAUCGUAUGCAUAGCUCAGAGAUGAGUGAAAUCUCUUCGGAGACAUAUAGACAGGUGGUGCAUGGUUGUCGUCAGCUCGUGUCGUGAGAUGUUGGGUUAAGUCCCGCAACGAGCGCAACCCUUACUGUUAGUUGCUACGCAAGAGCACUCUAGCAGGACUGCCGUUGACAAAACGGAGGAAGGUGGGGAUGACGUCAAAUCAUCAUGCCCCUUAUGACCUGGGCCUCACACGUACUACAAUGGCUGUCAACAGAGGGAAGCAAAGCCGCGAGGUGGAGCGAACCCCUAAAAGCAGUCUUAGUUCGGAUUGUAGGCUGCAACCCGCCUACAUGAAGUCGGAAUCGCUAGUAAUCGCAGAUCAGCAUGCUGCGGUGAAUACGUUCCCGGGCCUUGUACACACCACCCGUCACGCCAUGGGAGUCGGUAACACCCGAAGCCUGUAGUCUAACCGCAAGGAGGACGCAGUCGAAGGUGGGAUUGAUGACUGGGGUGAAGUCGUAACAAGGUA